AGAGAGAAAGUAAUAAAGUGAUAAAGUAAGAAAGAGAAGGUAAUAAAGUGAUAAAGUAGGAGAGAGAAGAUAAUAAAGAAAUACUUAAUUAGUGUUAAUUAAGUGUUUAAAAUUACUUAUUUUUGCCAAAUAUAGAAAUGUAGCAUCUUCGUUGGGACGGCCCGAAAAGGAAUAUGUAGCAUCUUGAGCGGGACGGAGGGAGUAUAUUUUAUGUGAAUAUUUGAUUUAAAAUGUAAAAAUUAUAUUUGUUUAAAGAUUUUUUUUUUAAAUUCUAUCUCUUCUCUCAUCUUUUUUUUUUGAAUAAUUCUACUUUUUAAAUUCUUUUUUAUUUUUAUUUUCAUUUUCUUAACUUAUUUUUACCUUUUCAUAAUACCAAUUUUUGUUU
rnacentral:lncRNA from 1 species